AUUGAACGCUGGCGGCAGGCCUAACACAUGCAAGUCGGGCGGAUGAAGGGAGCUUGCUCCUGGAUUCAGCGGCGGACGGGUGAGUAAUGCCUAGGAAUCUGCCUGGUAGUGGGGGAUAACGUCCGGAAACGGGCGCUAAUACCGCAUACGUCCUGAGGGAGAAAGUGGGGGAUCUUCGGACCUCACGCUAUCAGAUGAGCCUAGGUCGGAUUAGCUAGUUGGUGGGGUAAAGGCCUACCAAGGCGACGAUCCGUAACUGGUCUGAGAGGAUGAUCAGUCACACUGGAACUGAGACACGGCCCAAACUCCUAGGGGGGGCAUCAGUGGGGAAAAUUGGACAAUGGGCGAAAGCCUGAUCCAGCCAUGCCGCGUGUGUAAAGAAGGUCUUCGAAUGGUAAAGCACUUUAGUUGGGAGGAAGGGCAGUAAGUUAAUACCUUGCUGCUUUGACGUUACCAACAGAAUAAGCACCGGCUAACUUCGUG
rnacentral:rRNA from 1 species